rnacentral:rRNA from 1 species
AGAAUCAACGCUGGCGGCGUGCCUAACACAUGCAAGUCGAACGAGAAAGUGGAGCAAUCCAUGAGUAAAGUGGCGCACGGGUGAGUAACACGUGACUAACCUACCCUUGAGUGGGGAAUAACCUCGGGAAACCGGGCUAAUACCGCAUAACACCUACGGGUCAAAGGAGCAAUUCGCUUAAGGAGGGGUCGCGGCAGAUUAGUUAGUUGGCGGGGUAAUGGCCCACCAAGACGGUGAUCUGUAU